rnacentral:rRNA from 1 species
UACGUAGGCAGCAAGCGUUGUUCGGAGUUACUGGGCGUAAAGGGUGUGUAGGCGGCUCCGUAAGUUCGGUGUGAAAUCUCCCGGCUCAACUGGGAGGGUGCGCCGAAAACUGCGAAGCUGGAGCGCAGGAGAGGAAAGCAGAAUUCCUGGUGUAGCGGUGAAAUGCGUAGAUAUCAGGAGGAAUACCGGUGGUGAAGGCGGCUUUCUGGACUGCUGCUGACGCUGAUACACGAAAGCGUGGGGAGCAAACAGG